rnacentral:rRNA from 1 species
UACGGAGGGUGCAAGCGUUAAUCGGAAUUACUGGGCGUAAAGCGUGCGCAGGCGGUGAUGUAAGACAGGUGUGAAAUCCCCGGGCUUAACCUGGGAACUGCAUUUGUGACUGCAUCGCUGGAGUGCGGCAGAGGGGGAUGGAAUUCCGCGCGUAGCAGUGAAAUGCGUAGAUAUGCGGAGGAACACCGAUGGCGAAGGCAAUCCCCUGGGCCUGCACUGACGCUCAUGCACGAAAGCGUGGGGAGCAAACAGG